rnacentral:lncRNA from 1 species
CAAGUGUCGUAAUUUCCUCAUUUGAAAGAUCUAAAGCCUUAUAAAUAUUUGAAUACAAAAAAUGAGGACCUCCCAAUUUCAUUGUAGGAUUUAGCAUUGCAGCAAGACCAUAAAUAGGAGGGAUAGGAAAAAAAUAUUUUUUAAACUUUUGUUUCAUUUCAUUUAUAGCAAGUUCAUACAAUUCCUAAGGCCAUAUGCUACUACUACGUUGCAUUAAUUGGGUUUCUAUAUUCAUAUGCUACUACUAAACUUUCGUACAUACAAUUCCAUCUAGUCGGGCAAGGUUUAGGAACCUUUCUUUCUCUAAGGCCAUAUUCAUCACAUUUUUUAAAAUACUCUCUAAGUCUACUUCUACGGUUUGAAUAAAAAAGCCAAUUAAGAGCCAUUCUAACCUUUUCAAUUUCUAUGUUUAAUAUUCGCAUACCAUCACCGACAAUUAAAUGAUAAAUAUGACAAAUACAUCUAACAUGGAAAAUAUUAGUAAAUGCAGGAUUUAGUGUUGCUGUAAGCAUGCCUAUAGCACUGGUGUUACUAGAAGCAUUAUCCAUUGAAAUUGCCAUUAUUUUAUCGCUAAAGCAAAAAUAUCUACAAAUAUCUGCAACAGUGUUAGCUAUAAACUUGCCUGUGUGACGCGAAUUAAUUAUUCUAUAUGCAAUUAUGCGUUUUU